UGCUGCAUAUUGGCUUGUCUGUGUUAGUGAGGCAUGAAGUAUCAGUGAUUGGCACAAAGAAGAAAACUAUCUUGCCCUGGAAUGGAUAGAUUUUCUCUUACUGAGAUGAACAGCAGCAGUGUGGUAAUACUACAAGAAUACAGGCACUGAAGCCUCCUCUUCUUGAACCAGCUGCCUCAGAGCAUCUCUAUCUGAUGGCAGAUGUAUGUGUUAUCUGAAGGAAGGAAGGAAGGAAGGAAGGAAGGAAGGAAGGAACCAACCAACCAACCAACCAACCAACCAACCAACCCUUGAAAGUAGAAGAAGAAGUGGCUAUUCACACAAGACUCAAUAUUACUGUGACCAUUAGGAAGAGAGUUGGCUAUCUCCUUCUAUCAAGAGGUUCAGUCAAGAAAAGCACUCAUUCAAGCAGACUCCAGCAAAUGCUUCUACAAAUUGGCCAGACAAACAUUUUCUCUACUGUUUAUUCUCCCAACUUUGAUUUUAGAAUCUCUUUCUCUGAAAAAAAAAAUGGAUCAGCUAUUUAAGAUCUUCACACAGUGAGUUUGGGGAAUGCCCAAGAAAGAUUCAUCUCCCUAACUUCCCUCCAUUGCAUGGAGCAAGAAACUCCCUGCUCCAAAUGUGGCAUGUAUGAAGAUGUAUUCCGAAUGAAACGGCUUAAAGAUGGUAGCUCAUUCAGGACUUCAGUUGUCACAUUAAAUCAGACAGAUCUUCCCUGUGAAUAUAGCUUUUAUCUUGUCUUCAGUAAAUCAGCUUAUUCAGCGGUUUCAUGUCUGUGAGCUUUUGCUAGAAGUGAAAUGCCUGAAGAAUCAAAAUGUAUUGCCAUCACAGACUUGAAGACUGACAGUUAUGUAUCUUUUUGACAUUGCAAAGUACUGUUGGAGAUGACUUAGCCCUGUUGGCUGGAUACAUUGGUAAAAUAAUAAAAGUUGGCCACUUCUUGAUUAUA